GAUGAACGCUGGCGGCGUGCUUAACACAUGCAAGUCGAACGGAAAGGCCCAAGCUUGCUUGGGUACUCGAGUGGCGAACGGGUGAGUAACACGUGGGUGAUCUGCCCUGCACUUCGGGAUAAGCCUUGGAAACUGGGUCUAAUACCGGAUAGGACCACUUCUUGGAUGUUGUGGUGGAAAGUUUUUUCGGUGUGGGAUGAGCUCGCGGCCUAUCAGCUUGUUGGUGGGGUAAUGGCCUACCAAGGCGUCGACGGGUAGCCGGCCUGAGAGGGUGUACGGCCACAUUGGGACUGAGAUACGGCCCAGACUCCUACGGGAGGCAGCAGUGGGGAAUAUUGCACAAUGGGCGCAAGCCUGAUGCAGCGACGCCGCGUGGGGGAUGACGGCCUUCGGGUUGUAAACUCCUUUCGCUAGGGACGAAGCGUUUUGUGACGGUACCUGGAGAAGAAGCACCGGCUAACUACGUG
rnacentral:rRNA from 1 species